UACGAAGGGGGCUAGCGUUGCUCGGAAUCACUGGGCGUAAAGCGCACGUAGGCGGGUCGUUAAGUCGGGGGUGAAAUCCUGGAGCUCAACUCCAGAACUGCCUUCGAUACUGGCGAUCUUGAGUCUGGGAGAGGUGAGUGGAACUCCGAGUGUAGAGGUGAAAUUCGUAGAUAUUCGGAAGAACACCAGGUGGCGAAGGCGGCUCACUGGCCCGGGUACUGACGCUGAGGUGCGAAAGCGUGGGGAGCAAACAGG
rnacentral:rRNA from 1 species